rnacentral:lncRNA from 1 species
CACAGUAACAAUUAUACCACUGCAUGAAGUUGUGAGAACGUAGUACAAAAAUUAUUUAUUGUAGAGAGACGGUCAGGAAAAGUCCGCCAUUUUAACUGUAGGUGGAAACAAAAAAAUCCAUUUAAUAAAAAUAGGACCAACUAUAAAACAAAAAAUUAGAACUGGCUGGGUCUUUUUCUUCUUGUCCCAAAGAUCUUUAUUUUACAAGUCCCAAAAUAUCGUUUGAUUUUUCUAGCAAAUGUUUGCUGCUUCAACAAAAUUUGCUGCUUACAGUGUCGUAGCUUGGAACAGACAACACUGCCAAACAAAAAAAGAGCCAGACACAAUAUUAAGGACACAAGAUCAUUGUUUUAUUAUACCUCUGCAAGUGAAAAGGUAUAUGAAACGUAUAAGUUAAAAGAGAAAUGUUUAUUACCCUCUCCGAAGGAACCCAUUGUCAAAGGCUUAGAAAUAAUCUUGCUGGUGAAAUCAGUAAUGUCCUUCAACGUAAGUCCGUCUACUGUCUUCAAAAAUUGCUCAACUGGCUUCCUGCAAUAUUUUCAAUAUAAAAACAUUCAGAAUAAAGUGAAUUUCUUGAAGGUUUUAUAUUUAAAAUGAAAUUUUGAUGUGUACCUCUCUCCGUAUGUAAGUAUCUGCCUGCCAAUGUCUUCUGCUGCAAUCAUCUGCAUAUGACACGCGUUAACUCGUUAGUAACAUCUAUUUGAAAUCGAAUAAAUCGGUUUCAUCGUAAAGUGAGAGAGUGAAAGAAUACCCGAGAUUCCAAAUUCAUCAGAACUGCAGAUUUUGUGGCUGCCUUGGCACGAUCAAGAUGCUUCUGGUUAACUGUCCAAACACAUAAACACAAGGAAAAUGUUUCAUACAUGUAAAGUAUUGUAUCCACUUUUAAGUGACAGCAAGGAAGAAACAAACUGUAAACCUUUUCCUCCGGCAACAUCUUUCAGUUCUUUAGCUGCUAAUUCAAUCGCUUUUGCAGCGAACUCAGGACUCUGCAACCAUAGAUGUAAAUCAUAUCACUAUGUUAACCAUAAUACGUAUCAAGGAAGCUAACGCAAACUGAACAAUACCCACACAAAUUGGUAAUAUUCCUUUAAUACCAAAUCUAUCAUCAAUGGGAAAAAGGUGGAUGAUUGAUGGAAGGAAAAACACAGUAAGCAAAAUCCUGAUUUUGCUGAACUCACCGAGCAACCAUAGAUUCCAAACAAUCCGGUGUUGUUAAAGAUGCUAGUGAAUGCAGUGCAUGACUGAACUUGCUGAUAUUCGUUUAGAAUACGGAGAUCUGUAACCAGACACAUGAACUUGUAUCACUACUACUGAUCCUCUAGCAGAGCGUGAUAAUUUAUAAUGAACUAGUUCAAGAAACAGCAAAAAAAAAAAAAAAAACUUCUAAGCCAUAAAAUACACAAGAUUUGACUUACAUAGCCAUGAGUGCAUUCCUUUGCCAGGGCCUCCAGCUGAGAAUGAGCCGCCUCCUCCCAUGAGCAUCUAAUAGCAAAUAUAUUUAAAUUACAUAUCAGCCUUUCCUAAGAAAUAGGAUUUGAUUGAAACAAGUGAAAGUAUUAACACGAGGAAAAAUUAAACAUUCAAUUUAGGCACCUGGAGAACAGUAGCAAUGACUGCUUCUUUCUCGUUAUUCCAGCCAGGAACCUCAAACGCAAGCGCAAAGUGUGUAGCCUGAAGAAGACCAAAAAGCUCAAUUAGAGUUGUAACAUAAAAACAAUUUCAUCUCGAACACACUUGUUUAUUACUCCAACGACAGUAAAUAUGUAAUAGAUACCUCUCCACCAGUAUGUUGGCGAAAAUCUCCACCAGUAUAUUGAGAUAUCGGCUCCCCUUGGCGCGGUACAUUAGGAAGGUCAGAAGUUAAUGGCUCAACAACUUGUAAAAGUUCCUCGUGUUCAACUCCACUUGCCGCCAGUACCAUACGUGCAGCAGUGAAAUUCUCCUGAAAUCCCCAGAUCAAAUGAUUAAACAAUUGUAAUCACAGAGGUUUAGAUGGUUCUCAAAAGCUGAAUGCUGCCUUACAGUCAUAAACUCCUCCAAGAGUUCCCCAUUCAAUCUGUCCAAAGCAGACUCAUGAGCAUACAGAGGAUUUGCCAAUGCACCAGAAUAACCAGCAGAGUGAACGGCCUCCAUGAGGAGUCCCAUAGGGUUCUUUGCAAGCUCUGCUAUCUCUACCUUCAUCUUACGUAGCUACGAAUCAACACAAGAACAAUAAGUCACAUAAAUGUAUUCACCAGGGUUAUCAAAAUAACAACAAAGGAAAAAAAAAGAGAUUAAGAAAUUUACCUCUUCAUUGACUUCCCAAUCCAAGAAAGCAGGGUUCCUCACACUGUCAAUAAGAACUUCAACCAUUCCAGGGACAUAGGUUUUCAGAGCAUCAAUAGUGUAACUCAUUUGCUCCCGAGACGCAGACGCCGAGGUGUUGCCUCCAAUAGCUUCGAUUUCCCUAACAAGACGUAGAUGGCUUCUGUUCGUCGUGCUCUUGAAAGCCAUCCUCUCAAGCAAAUGCGUUGCUCCAUGGAAAUAAGGCGCCUCGUAGAUAGAACCACAAUCAACAUACAAACCAAUGGAAGCUGCUGGAUUCUAACACACCAAGAUAAUAACUUCGUUCAGUUCAUUUACCGCAUUUUAAAAGAUUCUAUCUUCAGAGAAGUAAACAUAAGAUUUACUUACGGGAGACAUCUCGGAGGCGAUUUUGAGACCAUUUGGGAGAGUAGUGAUCUUAAGUUUGCUUGGCUCAACAAGGUCAGCAAGUGGUGGAGGAAGAGACACACCCUGUAGUGGCAUGUCCAAUGAAUUAAGCGAAGAAGAUGAUCCACCAGUCAACCAGCUGAAGAAACCUGGAGAAGAAGAAGAAGAACUAGUCGCAACGGCACUUGAACUUGCAUAACGCGCCGGUCUCAAACUCCGGCUAAGAGAUCCCUAUCACAAAACAAGAAUAUGAUUCUUCAAUCGAUGAGUCGCAAAUCCAUUUCUAGUUAGAUUGACUUCAGAAACUCGUAAACCUAAGCAGUAAUAACAGUCCCAUCAUCGCGGGUAAUUCAAUCCAGAUCUAAAGAUUUUCCGAGAACGUAGGCGAAAUCAGGACGAAUCUAUUCACUACGCGAAGGUUCCAGACGCUUACAAGAGAACAUCAAUCGUGAAACGAUCAAAGGCUAAGGUAACAAACCUUGAGAGCCCUGGCUCGUGAAGCUGCCGUGCGAUACAUGGCGACUGUGGAAACCCUAAAUCGGAAGGGAAGGGAAGAGAUGAAUUGAGAAGGUGAGAGAGACUGCGAGUUUUGCUGCUUACGUAUUGCUUAUCAUAGGCCCAAAUGUUUAUAUGGGGUUGGCCCAUCAGAUGAAUUAGUUCACGGAGCCGACUAUAUCAGAAUAAGAAUUUAAAAAAAAAAAAAGUCUGAAGAAAGAAAAAAUUGUGGCUGUUGGAAUAUUUGAGAAAGAGGCUUAAAACAAACAUUGAAUGCAGUGAAGAGUCUUUAUCGUUGAGAGAGACUUGCCUAACUAUUCAAAGCAGCAAUAUGAGACUCGGUUUACUUUUUCUGUUUGCCCCAACCCCAAGAAUGUGGAGGAAGCACCCCGCUUUGAAAUAAUUUGUGGAUUCUGCAGUGUUUUAGUUCUUUUUUUGUGAAGGGCAGUGUUACUUGCUCAACCCUAUCCUACCAACAUAAUUAACCAGACUUAGAAUCCCGAAACUUCCGAUUUUUACUGUUCAUCCUCGUCCCCACAGCCUUCCAUUGCCUCCUCCUGAUCGAUCCUCACGAGACACGCCUUGUCAAAAGCUUGAUCGUCUCGUUCCUUCAAUGGCUUGGGUGUAAAACGCCAUCUUCCCGGCAAGAUCUUGAUUCACAUCCACAACACCCGCCCCGCUCCGCGAUCAACAUCAACCUUAACUGUAAGCUAAUCACUUCACUUCCAUAAUCAUGUCUUGAUGUUUAGCACUCAGAAAUGAAAUGACAUCACAGUAACAAUUAUACCACUGCAUGAAGUUGUGAGAACGUAGUACAAAAAUUAUUUAUUGUAGAGAGACGGUCAGGAAAAGUCCGCCAUUUUAACUGUAGGUGGAAACAAAAAAAUCCAUUUAAUAAAAAUAGGACCAACUAUAAAACAAAAAAUUAGAACUGGCUGGGUCUUUUUCUUCUUGUCCCAAAGAUCUUUAUUUUACAAGUCCCAAAAUAUCGUUUGA